rnacentral:rRNA from 1 species
CCAACGAGAACUACGGGAGUAACAACCUCGGUAAACGAAGAAUAGCUAAUAACCGGACGUGACAACACUAGACGCAUGUCUAGAGUUUAAAAGAUGGUUCUGCUAUCACUCUUGGAUGGACCUGCGGUGCAUUAGCUAGUUGGUAAGGUAACGGCUUACCAAGGCAAUGAUGCAUAGCCGAGUUGAGAGACUGAUCGGCCACAUUGGGACUGAGACACGGCCCAAACUCCUACGGAAGGCAGCAG